rnacentral:rRNA from 1 species
GAUGAACGCUGGCGGCAUGCCUAAUACAUGCAAGUCGAGCGAACAGACGAGGAGCUUGCUCCUCUGACGUUAGCGGCGGACGGGUGAGUAACACGUGGAUAACCUACCUAUAAGACUGGGAUAACUUCGGGAAACCGGAGCUAAUACCGGAUAAUAUAUUGAACCGCAUGGUUCAAUAGUGAAAGACGGUUUUGCUGUCACUUAUAGAUGGAUCCGCGCCGCAUUAGCUAGUUGGUAAGGUAACGGCUUAACAAGGCAACGAUGCGUAGCCGACCUGAGAGGGUGAUCGGCCACAAGGGAAGUUAGACGCGGUCCAGACUCCUCCGGGAGGCAGCAGUAGGGGAUCUUCCGCGAUGGGCGGAAGCCUGACGGAGCAACGCCGCGGGAGUGAUGGAGGUCUUCCGUUCGUAAAAAGCUGUUAUUAGGGAAGAAUCAAUGUGUAAGUAACUAUGAACGUCUUGACGGGACCUAAUGAGAAAGCCACGGCUAACUACGUG